UACUAAAAAGCUUUUCGGAUGCACCUGAAUAUUGGGCAGAGUAUACUAUCGAUUUUCAGAGUCAUGCAAAAACAUUCUCAGAAGCACAAAAGCGAUUUAAAAAACUGCAAAAGAAAGAAUAUACUUACACUUCAGAUGGCUAAAUCGACGAUAAAAUCGAAAUAACGAAGAGAAAAUAUCGGGGGAAAAAAAUAAAUGUAUCACCAGAGGCAGAAGAAAAUUUUUUCAAGUACCGAGCAUAGCAGAAGUGAUGCAAAAUUCGCGAGAAAACUAUGAAGGCAAACCAAGUGGUCAUACAAAUAAAGAUUCAAGCGAAUCACAAAUAAGCAGCGCAUCAGAGUCGCCAAAUGCAAAUACAUGCUCAAAUAAGCGAAGAAAAGGCGGAAUGAAGUCCAAGUCUUAUAAUGGCCUGAAAAGGUCAAGAUUAAAGUACGAAAAAAAUA